AGAGUUUGAUCCUGGCUCAGAUUGAACGCUGGCGGCAUGCCUUACACAUGCAAGUCGAACGGUAACGCGGGGGCAACCCUGGCGACGAGUGGCGAACGGGUGAGUAAUACAUCGGAACAUAUCCAGUAGCGGGGGAUAACCUAUCGAAAGAUGGACUAAUACCGCAUACGAUCUACGGAUAAAAGCAGGGGACCGCAAGGCCUUGCACUAUUGGAGUGGCCGAUGUCGGAUUAGCUAGUUGGUGGGGUAAAAGCUUACCAAGGCGACGAUCCGUAGCUGGUCUGAGAGGACGAUCAGCCACACUGGAACUGAGACACGGUCCAGACUCCUACGGGAGGCAGCAGUGGGAAUUUUGGACAAUGGGCGCAAGCCUGAUCCAGCCAUGCCGCGUGAGUGAAGAAGGCCUUCGGGUUGUAAAGCUCUUUCGGUGAAGACGAAACGGUUCAUGCUAAUAACGUGAACUAAUGACGGUACUCACAGAAGAAGCACCGGCUAACUACGUGCCAGCAGCCGCGGUAAUACGUAGGGUGCAGGCGUUAAUCGGAAUUACUGGGCGUAAAGCGUGCGCAGGCGGUUUGCUAAGACAGGUGUGAAAUCCCCGGGCUUAACCUGGGAAUUGCGCUUGUAACUGGCAAGCUAGAGUGUGGCAGAGGGGGGUGGAAUUCCACGUGUAGCAGUGAAAUGCGUAGAUAUGUGGAGGAACACCGAUGGCGAAGGCAGCCCCCUGGGUUAACACUGACGCUCAUGCACGAAAGCGUGGGGAGCAAACAGGAUUAGAUACCCUGGUAGUCCACGCCCUAAACUAUGUCAACUAGUUGUCGGGGAAGAAAUUCCUUGGUAACGAAGCUAACGCGUGAAGUUGACCGCCUGGGGAGUACGGCCGCAAGGUUAAAACUCAAAGGAAUUGACGGGGACCCGCACAAGCGGUGGAUUAUGUGGAUUAAUUCGAUGCAGCGCGAAAAACCUUACCUACCCUUGACAUGCUAGGAAGCCCGCAGAGAUGUGGGUGUGCCCGAAAGGGAACCUAGACACAGGUGCUGCAUGGCUGUCGUCAGCUCGUGUCGUGAGAUGUUGGGUUAAGUCCCGCAACGAGCGCAACCCUUGCCAUUAGUUGCUACAUUCAGUUGGGCACUCUAAUGGGACCGCCGGUGACAAACCGGAGGAAGGUGGGGAUGACGUCAAGUCCUCAUGGCCCUUAUGGGUAGGGCUUCGCACGUAAUACAAUGGUCGGUACAGAGGGCUGCCAACCCGCAAGGGGGAGCUAAUCCCAGAAAGCCGAUCGUAGUCCGGAUUGUAGUCUGCAACUCGACUGCAUGAAGCCGGAAUCGCUAGUAAUCGCGGAUCAGCAUGUCGCGGUGAAUACGUUCCCGGGUCUUGUACACACCGCCCGUCACACCAUGGGAGUGGGUUCCACCAGAAGUAGUUAGCCUAACCGCAAGGAGGGCGAUUACCACGGUGAGAUUCAUGACUGGGGUGAAGUCGUAACAAGGUA
rnacentral:rRNA from 1 species